rnacentral:misc_RNA from 1 species
AGUUUUCUAUACCCAAGCCUUGGAUAAAAGUUAUAAACCAUCAUAAAUCAUGAGAGAUUCUUUUUAUCAUGUUAAAUCCUGUUUUUAUGUUUAAUUACCAUUUUAUAGGCUAUUUGAUACAAAAAAUCUCGAUGUCAUUUCAAUAGAAAUAGAAUAGAAAUACAUAAAAAUUCAUUGUGAUGUCAUCAGUAUAAUAUUAAAAAUUUAUUACAUGGGUGACCUCCAUUGCAUAUUGGGCUGAACGUGAUGAAUAAUAAUGCACCACCUGGUUUUCAUGUUAUAAAAGGAAACUAUUGACAUUUGCAUUUGUCUCAGGUCUGCUAUGUACCUAUAAUUUAUCAUUGGGGUAGUCAUUCCAGUGAGGUUAUGUGUUGUGUCAGUAUGAAUAUACAUUGUAUGAAAGAAAUGCUGUCAAUAUCAUGAUAAGUUUAUUAUCUCAUGUGUCAUAUAUUUCAGUCUUGUUAACUGAUUCUGAUUCUCUACACACAUUAUAUGUGGGUUUUUAUUCUCAUUCAAUGUAUUCAUGUAUGUUGUGCAUCAGUGCUGUUUUGAAUUGAAACAUUAUAAUCAUGUACAUAAACACUGAAGUAAAAUGUAAAAUUC